rnacentral:tRNA from 1 species
GAGGAUGUAGCUCAAUAGUAGAGCAUUUGGCUAGUAUAUAAAAAGCCCCAAGCCCCAACCUCA